rnacentral:rRNA from 1 species
UAGCAUAUCAAUAAGCGGAGGAAAAGAAACCAACAGGGAUUGCCUUAGUAACGGCGAGUGAAGCGGCAACAGCUCAAAUUUGAAAGCUGGCUCCUUCGGAGUCCGCGUUGUAAUUUGUAGAGGAUGAUUCGGCGAGGGCUCCCGCCUAAGUCCCCUGGAACGGGGCGUCAUAGAGGGUGAGAAUCCCGUAUGCGGUGGGUUGCCUUAGCCAUGUGAAUCUCCUUCGACGAGUCGAGUUGUUUGGGAAUGCAGCUCUAAAUGGGAGGUAAAUUUCUUCUAAAGCUAAAUACCGGCCAGAGACCGAUAGCGCACAAGUAGAGUGAUCGAAAGAUGAAAAGCACUUUGGAAAGAGAGUUAAAAAGUACGUGAAAUUGUUGAAAGGGAAGCGCUUGCAGCCAGACUUGUCCGCAGUUGCUCAACCGGUCUCCUGACCGGUGUACUCUUCUGCGGCCAGGCCAGCAUCAGUUCGGGCGGUCGGAUAAAGGCCCUGGGAAUGUAGCUCCUCUCGGGGAGUGUUAUAGCCCAGGGUGGAAUGCGGCCAGCCUGGACUGAGGAUCUCGCUUCGGCUAGGAUGCUGGCGUAAUGGCUGUAAGCGGCCCGUCUUGAAACACGGACCAAGGAGUCUAACAUCUAUGCGAGUGUUUGGGUGUCAAACCCAUGCGCGUAAUGAAAGUGAACGGAGGUGGGAACCCUCACGGGUGCACCAUCGACCGAUCCUGAUGUCUUCGGAUGGAUUUGAGUAAGAGCAUAGCUGUUGGGACCCGAAAGAUGGUGAACUAUGCCUGAAUAGGGUGAAGCCAGAGGAAACUCUGGUGGAGGCUCGCAGCGGUUCUGACGUGCAAAUCGAUCGUCAAAUUUGGGUAUAGGGGCGAAAGACUAAUCGAACCAUCUAGUAGCUGGUUCUGCGAU